rnacentral:rRNA from 1 species
UACGUAGGGUGCAGGCGUUAAUCGGAAUUACUGGGCGUAAAGCGUGCGCAGGCGGUUUGCUAAGAGAGAUGUGAAAUCCCCGGGCUUAACCUGGGAACUGCAUUCGAGACUGUCUAGCUAGAGUAUGGGAGAGGGAAGUGGAAUUUCAGGUGUAGCGGUGAAAUGCGUAGAGAUCCGGAGGAACACCAGUGGCGAAGGCGACACGCUGGGCCGUACCUGACACUGAUGCGCGACAGCAUGGGGAGCAAACAGG